rnacentral:rRNA from 1 species
UGGGGAAUAUUGCACAAUGGGCGCAAGCCUGAUGCAGCCAUGCCGCGUGUAUGAAGAAGGCCUUCGGGUUGUAAAGUACUUUCAGUCGGGAGGAAGGUGGUAAGGUUAAUAACCUUAUCAAUUGACGUUACCGACAGAAGAAGCACCGGCUAACUCCGUGCCAGCAGCCGCGGUAAUACGGAGGGUGCAAGCGUUAAUCGGAAUUACUGGGCGUAAAGCGCACGCAGGCGGUUGAUUGAGUCAGAUGUGAAAUCCCCGGGCUUAACCCGGGAAUUGCAUCUGAUACUGGUCAGCUAGAGUCUUGUAGAGGGGGGUAGAAUUCCAUGUGUAGCGGUGAAAUGCGUAGAGAUGUGGAGGAAUACCGGUGGCGAAGGCGGCCCCCUGGACAAAGACUGACGCUCAGGUGCGAAAGCGUGGGGAGCAAACAGU